GGGCCCGCACAAGCGGCGGAGCAUGUUGCUUAAUUCGAGGCAACGCGAAGAACCUUAUCCAGGGUUUGACAUCCCGGAUUAAACCGUCGAAAGACGGUCUACACCCUUUGGGUGGAACGGUGACAGGUGCUGCAUGGCUGUCGUCAGCUCGUGCUGUGAAGUGUCGGGUUAAGUCCCUCAACGAGCGCAACCCUUAUCGUUAGUUGCUAACAGGUAAUGCUGAGGACUCUAGCGAGACUGCCGGUGUCAAACCGGAGGAAGGUGGGGAUGACGUCAAGUCCUCAUGGCCUUUAUGCCCUGGGCUGCACACGUGCUACAAUGGUAGGUACAGAACGAUGCAAGACCGCGAGGUGGAGCAAAUCGCUAAAACCUGCCCCAGUUCGGAUUGGAGGCUGCAACUCGCCUCCAUGAAGUCGGAAUCGCUAGUAA
rnacentral:rRNA from 1 species